rnacentral:rRNA from 1 species
GAGUUUGAUCCUGGCUCAGGACGAACGCUGGCGGCAUGCCUAACACAUGCAAGUCGAACGAGAAAGUUCCUUCGGGAGCGAUUAAAGUGGCGCACGGGUGAGUAACGCGUAGACAAUCUGCCCUUCAGUCUGGGACAACUUUUCGAAAGGAGAGCUAAUACCGGAUAACAAUGUUUAACCUAAGUUAAGUAUUUGAAAGCUUUAUGUGCUGAAGGAGGGGUCUGCGUCCCAUUAGCUAGUUGGUGAGGUAAAGGCUUACCAAGGCGACGAUGGGUAGCGGGUUUGAGAGGACGAUCCGCCACACUGGAACUGAGACACGGUCCAGACUCCUACGGGAGGCAGCAGUGCGGGAAUAUUGCACAAUGGAGGCAACUCUGAUGCAGCAAUGUCGCGUGAGUGAAGAAGGCCCUUGGGUCGUAAAGCUCUUUUAUGGGGGAAGAUAAUGACGGUACCCCAAGAAUAAGCACCGGCUAACUAUGUGCCAGCAGCCGCGGUAAUACAUAGGGUGCGAGCGUUGUUCGGAAUUACUGGGCGUAAAGGGCGCGCAGGCGGAAUAGUAAGUCGGAGGUGAAAGCCCGGGGCUCAACCCCGGAGGGUCUUUCGAAACUGCUAAUCUAGAGAGGGUCAGGGGCCGGCAGAAUUCCUGGUGUAGAGGUGAAAUUCGUAGAUAUCACGAGGAAUACCGGUGGCGAAGGCGGCCGGCUAGGGCCACUCUGACGCUGAGGCGCGAAAGCGAACAGGAUUAGAUACCCUGGUAGUCCACGCCGUAAACGAUGAGCACUGGACGUCCGGAGGGUUCGACCCUUCUGGGUGUCUCAGCUAACGCAUUAAGUGCUCCGCCUGGGGAGUACGGUCGCAAGACUAAAACUCAAAGGAAUUGACGGGGGCCCGCACAAGCGGUGGAACAUGUGGUUUAAUUCGAUGCAACGCGAAGAACCUUACCUGGUCUUGACAUCCUCGGACCGCUUCAGAGAUGAAGCUUCCUCUUCGGAGGCCGAGCGGCAGGUGCUGCAUGGCUGUCGUCAGCUCGUGUCGUGAGAUGUUGGGUUAAGUCCCGCAACGAGCGCAACCCCUACCCUUAAUUGCCAUCGGGUUAUGCCGGGCACUUUAGGGGGACUGCCGGUGACAAGCCGGAGGAGGGUGGGGAUGACGUCAAGUCCUCAUGGCCUUUAUGUCCAGGGCUACACACGUGCUACAAUGGCUGGUACAAAGAGUCGCAAGACCGCGAGGUGGAGCUAAUCUCAUAAAACCAGUCUCAGUUCGGAUUGGAGUCUGCAACUCGACUCCAUGAAGUUGGAAUCGCUAGUAAUCGUGGAUCAGCAUGCCACGGUGAAUACGUUCCCGGGCCUUGUACACACCGCCCGUCACACCAUGAAAGCCGACUGUACCAGAAGUCAUGAUGCCAACCUUCGGGAGGCUAGUGCCUAAGGUGUGGUUGGUGAUCGGGGUGAAGUCGUAACAAGGUAGCCGUAGGGGAACCUGCGGCUGGAUCACCUCCUUUCU